GUCGAACGCUGGCGGCGUGCUUAACACAUGCAAGUCGAACGGUAAGGCCCCUUCGGGGGUACACGAGUGGCGAACGGGUGAGUAACACGUGAGCAACCUGCCCUUGACUCUGGGAUAACAGUUGGAAACAGCUGCUAAUACCGGAUACGACCUUCGAUGACAUCAUCUGGAGGUGGAAAGCGCUUUAGCGGUCAAGGAUGGGCUCGCGGCCUAUCAGCUUGUUGGUGAGGUAACGGCUCACCAAGGCCUCGACGGGUAGCCGGCCUGGGAGGGCGACCGGCCACACUGGGACUGAGAUACGGCCCAGACUCCUACGGGAGGCAGCAGUGGGGAAUAUUGCACAAUGGGCGCAAGCCUGAUGCAGCAACGCCGCGUGCGGGAUGACGGCCUUCGGGUUGUAAACCGCUUUCAGUUCCGACGAAGCGCAAGUGACGGUAGGAACAGAAGAAGGACCGGCCAACUACGUGCCAGCCGCCGCCGUAA
rnacentral:rRNA from 1 species